rnacentral:lncRNA from 1 species
AUGAAAUCCACCCUCAAGCGCAGCCGCUGCGUCCAUCACCAGCUGCUUAAGCAGCAGGUUCCCAGUGGCCGGUCAGCUGGAACUGCUUCGGGAGGACAAACAGGAAGGACACAGUUGCCAGGGCAGAUUACUCUGUUGGUGUCCUUGACGGGGAGAGAGAGAGAGAGAAAAAAAAACUUUAAACCUCAAAAUGUUGAGAAAAAAGUCAGACUGUUAACAACUCCGCCGUGCCCCUUCCUGGACCUGGCAGUGAGCUGGAUUCGAAUUACUCUGAUGGAGCCCUUGCAGUUGCGUCUAAAUAACCAGCUUCUAACCCUGUGUCCUGGCAACCUGCUCCCGACACACCCUUGGUCAGGGCCUCGGUUUCACAGGCUGAAUUCCAAGGCCUCUCUCAACCCCCUGACAAACUGGAGCUUCCUCUUUGGAGAAAGAGAAUGUGUUAUCGUUCUCCUUGCAAGAUGCCUUCAGGAGCUCAGGGCAAGCGAGGCAACAAAACAAGGGAAGAAGUCCAGCUCUGGACUCAGGGAGCUGAACCUCCAGCUGCUGGGCCGCUGCGUCCUAGUUAUGUGCCUUUAGGCGAAUUACUUCACCUCUUCUGUUUCCUCACCUGUAAAAUAAACCUACUUGCCUCCUAGGUUGGAGGUGCUGCUACCUGCAAAGGGUUUAGAACUCUCCGCUGAUGCAGAGGUAUGCUCAAAAAGCUCGACCUUUAUUUUUGAGCCUGAUUUUCUAUCACUUCCCACAAAGUGCUGGUUAGAUUUGGGCCUCAGAGUCGGACUGUCUGGGUUCAGAUCCCAGCUCUGUC